GACUUUUGGCUUGGUUUCUUCCGCCAAGCCGGCCAGUUUCUCCUGCCGAGCCGUCUGCUGCGCAGAUUCACAUUGGGGAAGUGAUAAACAGUUCGCUAUUAGGGAGCCAAUAUAUUUCUGGACUUCACUAAACCCACGAGGAACGUGAGUUUUGCUUCCUUCGACUGCAAAGCAUUUGCUAGGCCAGUACAGACUUCCUGGUGUCAUUCGUGUUUUGUGCUGCGUGCCGAGAAUGCGUGAGCGUUUUGCUCCCGUCUGCAAGAACACUUCAGCAUGCAGUUCCAAUGUGUCAAACCACAAUUUUCCGAAAGGCGAAAGAGAAAUCUAUUGACUGCAACAAUCGGUUACAACUCCGACUGGGUGCCACCUUCGAAAGCAGUGAUUUGAUCUGCCUCAUACGAAUGUUACGGAAGCAAUGCGCAACUUGUUUCACAAGAAGCUGAAGAUGUCUCGUCCGGGAUGCUGUGCCAACUUUAUCUGCAGCAGGAGAUUGCAGGGGCACGACUAGGCAGCAGAUAAAGGCAUUCUGGCACCACCGAAAAGCUUGCACUCCACGUCUCAACUAUCACCGUCUGGGUUUCAAGCUGAAGGUUUUCACCAGUGCCAACCAGACGCCCCUUCAAAGUUCAUAUGUUUUUGUUGACGGAACAGUGACACCUGGUAAACCUGUCACGCAGAUGCCCUACCCCUUGGUAUGCAUAGUUCAAGAUUGUACCGAAACAAUCCACAUGGAGCAUUAUAACACGCCACAUACUGCAUGUCUAUGCUGCGUGUACAAUGCAGCAAACCUAUUCUCAGGUACAGGCCAGCUGGUACGCAAUUACAACAUGAAACUGACACAGGGACCGUAAAGUCAUGCCUUUUCCUCCGCGCCUCGGGUUUCAUGUUAUUAUCCUCACAUGCAGCUCAAUUCGCCUGUGCUGUGCAGCAUGAGCAAAAGCAUAUAUUGUUUGUGGUCACAUGACACGGAACAUAAAUACAGUGAAACCUUCCUAUGUUGGACACCCGCGGUGCAGCCGAAGCGUCUCCUACUUAUAGAGGUGUCCGAGUUACAGAAUAUGAGUGCAAACAAAAAAUGGAAGAGAUCACAGCUGUGAGAAAUGUCUCCCUUCUUCAAUUUAAGGUCCUUAGUGGUACCUGGUGGUGGUGCCUGGUAGUGGUACCUCUACCCACUCACUGAUAAUUAUUACUGAUUUUAGUAUAUUCAAUUCCGUUCAGAUUCUACUCAAUGGCAUUACCUCUGGAGCCUUUCGUGCAGCAAGGACUUGUUUCUGAAGCGUCAGCGUACUUCUCAUGGCUUUGGUGCAGUGCUCGUUCAAAGGCUCUAGACAAACUGAAGACAAGUGCUCACAUAAAGAAUUACAAUGUAGACUGACAGCACUUGUUUUUGGACUCUAAAAACUAAAGCAACAAAAUGCUGAGACCAGUAUAGGGGAAAAAAGGGGCAAAAGUCAAGGUCACUGGCUCAUUUUGGGUCUUUUUGGUGCAAAGAUGGGCCGAUAUUGAGGUAAUUUGGCCAGGGUUUUGUCCAACUUUGCAGGGAAAACCCUAUCCUACUUCCAAGAUAGGGAGGUGUCCGACAUAGAGAAUUUCGUCCCCAUGUAGUUUCAAUGGGAGCCUGCCCGUGCAAUGAAAUCAUGGGGAGUUGUCCGAGGUAGGGAGGUGUCCGACUUGAAGGUUUACUGUACUAUAGAGCAUUCUACAUCAUGUAAUCUAACAGUUGUUCACGUUUGGAUAUUUUAACCAUGGAAUUCACCCUGCAUGCACCAUACCACGUCCAAACACUAACAACUGCUAGAGAGCAGCAUGUACUGUUUCCGUAUAGCACUUAUGGCUUGCGUCCUGUGAUCGGAAACAGUGGUGUCUUUUUUCUGCUACAACCAGUAAACUACAGUAAAGAUGUAGAAAUACUGUGUCAUACCAUAAAGCACUAUGGGAAAUGGCAGUUUGAAAAACUGGAGAAGACUGUCAUUAGAACGGGGGACAUGUUCUACGGUGAAAUUUUUUACAGUGUGUGCUGCACCACGUAAUGCACUGCAGGCCUACCACAGUAUGGUAACGCUCUGGAUACUGAUUUACUCAAAAAAGGAAUCUGUGCGUUUCUUGUACUAACUUCCCUUUAUGCAAAGUAGUAGAAAAGUGUUUUCAGCCAAUGGGGAAGGAGAGGACAUCAUUCUGGAGUCUCGUUGACCUACAAUGUGUCGUGUGUGGAGGUCAUUUUGAAGAGUGUAGGUGAUACAAGACUGUGUUCCCACGUUCUUGGCAGUGUUGACUAAUAACCAUAAUAAAGUAGUGGGUACAUUUGUUGCUUCAUAUAUUUGUGUCAUGGCAAAGUAUGUAGAGAUACAUCUGUCUCAACAUGCAGGUGACAAAACUGCUUUUUAUGCCUAAACUAUGACAAAUAGUUGUCUGUUCAGCACCACUAAUCAUGUGCCAGCCUCCAUGACAUGUCUGUGACAUUCCAAAGUGAUUAACAUGUCCCAUAGAUGUGUGCAAUGCUGAAGAUGACUGUGUACCUUCUAUGGAUUCUUGAUUCAAGAAAAGUACUGUGUGAUUUGCUAACGGUGCCUGGCUGUACCUUCACAAUUCUACAUAAAAAUAUGUAAAGUUUGCCGAAGGAAAUAUCAUGAAGGUCGAUAGCGAAAAACCCUGAGACGAGGGAUAGGAAGGGACAUACACAAUGUCUCAACAUAGCUUGUUUAUGUCCCUUCUUGUAUCUCCUCUUCAGGUCUCGCCAUCAUGGCCACUAUCACCAGUUAGUUUGCUGUUGAACCGUUCUUUCAACGAUAAGGGUCACUUUCAUGGACUGGAUGGCAGCCAACAUGCUGUCAAUAAAAAGAAUAAUGGAAGGAGCUCAAUAUGAUCCUUAGGCUGUGCGUGGUUAUUGCUUUCUGACAAAUUCGUGACUUCGAAUUCCAGGACAGUGCCUGUAGUGGUAGUAUUCUUGUGUUCUCACCCUUGACGCCCAUUGUGUGUCAUCGGUCACCUAUAAUCUGCUAAUAUGCACAUAGCUAAAACAAAGUAUAUUUGUAUUUCUUUGAAUACAGUUGGUACAGCACAUUGUUUUUUACAUGUUCUUUGGAAAAUAUAAAUAAAAAAUUCUCUACUC